rnacentral:RNase_P_RNA from 1 species
AGUAAGUCAGACGAUCGCGUCAUACUACGCGUAUGAUGAGGAAAGUCCGAGCUCCGCAGGGCAAGGGUGCCGGAUAACGUCCGGCGAAGGCGACUUCAGGGAAAGUGCAGCAGAAAUAUACCGCCGCUUUGCGGUAAGGGUGAAAAGGCGGGGCAAGAGCCCACCGGCGCUUCGGCAACGAAGCGCGUCCAUGUAAACCCCACCCGGAGCAAGACCAAGAACAGGCCAUUCAUGACGGCGGCCCGUCGUCGGCCUUAUAUGGUAGGUCGCUUGAGCGCAGCGGCAACGCUGUGACGAGAAAGAUGAUCGUUUGAUACAGAACUCGGCUUACAGACUUGCUCA